rnacentral:tRNA from 1 species
GGCUCGUUGGUCUAGGGGUAUGAUUCUCGCUUUGCGCAGAGGUCCCGGUUCAAAUCCCGACGAGCCC